rnacentral:rRNA from 1 species
UACGUAGGCAGCGAGCGUUGUUCGGAGUUACUGGGCGUAAAGCGUGCGUAGGCGGUUUUGUAAGUUUGGUGUGAAAUCUCCCGGCUCAACCGGGAGGGUGCGCCGAAAACUGCAAGGCUGGAGUGUGGGAGAGGUAGGCGGAAUUCCUGGUGUAGCGGUGAAAUGCGUAGAUAUCAGGAGGAACACCUGUGGUGUAGACGGCUUACUGGACCACGACUGACGCUGAGGCACGAAAGCGUGGGGAGCAAACAGG